rnacentral:rRNA from 1 species
GAUGAACGCUGGCGGCGUGCCUAAUACAUGCAAGUCGAGCGAACAGACGAGGAGCUUGCUCCUCUGACGUUAGCGGCGGACGGGUGAGUAACACGUGGAUAACCUACCUAUAAGACUGGGAUAACUUCGGGAAACCGGAGCUAAUACCGGAUAAUAUAUUGAACCGCAUGGUUCAAUAGUGAAAGACGGCUUUGCUGUCACUUAUAGAUGGUUCCGCGCCGCAUUAGCUAGUUGGUAAGGUAACGGCUUACCAAGGCGACGAUGCGUAGCCGACCUGAGAGGGUGAUCGGCCACACUGGAACUGAGACACGGUCCAGACUCCUACGGGAGGCAGCAGUAGGGAAUCUUCCGCAAUGGGCGAAAGCCUGACGGAGCAACGCCGCGUGAGUGAUGAAGGUCUUCGGAUCGUAAAACUCUGUUAUUAGGGAAGAACAAAUGUGUAAGUAACUAUGCACGUCUUGACGGUACCUAAUCAGAAAGCCACGGCUAACUACGUG